GUUGGUGUAGCUGAGUGGUAGAGUGCAUCCUUUGUAUGUAUAAUGUGCUGGGUUCAAUCUCCAGCUCUCUCC